rnacentral:rRNA from 1 species
CAGUAGCCGCGGGAAUACGGAGGGCGCGAGCGUUACCCGGAUUUACUGGGCGUAAAGGGCGUGUAGGCGGCCUGGGGCGUCCCAUGUGAAAGGCCACGGCUCAACCGUGGAGGAGCGUGGGAUACGCUCAGGCUAGAGGGUGGGAGAGGGUGGUGGAAUUCCCGGAGUAGCGGUGAAAUGCGCAGAUACCGGGAGGAACGCCGAUGGCGAAGGCAGCCACCUGGUCCACUUCUGACGCUGAGGCGCGAAAGCGUGGGGAGCAAACCGGAUUAGAUACCCCUGUAGUCCCUGUCUCUUAUCA